AGAACAGGCCUUUCAGGCAUCCUCUCCUAAAACUUCAAGGCCGCCUUUCCGGGCGGCUUUUUUUUGCCUUCG
rnacentral:sRNA from 1 species